GCUGUUGAGCUAAAGGGCUCAAAACAAUUAUUUUUCUAGAUGAAGAAACUGAAAUACAGAGGAGGGGAGGGGAGGCAAGGGUCCCCCUCCCCCCAUGUCCAGACGUGGUCUCUCAAUGUGGGUGAUCAAUUUGAGACACCUGGGGCCUAUACAGGGGGGAGCCUCUUGCAAGCCUGCCCCGUGGUGGGGAAGAAUCCAUCUAACAUUUAAAGGCUGGGGAGUAGCAGCACACCCCAGAGCAGAAUUUUUUCUUCACCAAAGGAGCUUUGUUGUCAUUUUGCCAGCGAUACAAGAAAUGCCAGAAACUAUAAGUAAAAGGGAUCCUGGCUCAACAUAUUCUGCCCUACGUGGUCUACAGCUGGGGAUAUUAAUGGCACCAGGGCAACCCCCACUUUGGGAUUGCCUUGCCUAGCUCUUGUUCUGCAUAACCCAGAGACAAGGAACAACAAGGCAAGACACGUCUCGGCUACAAGUGUGAACUUGAUCUCAAAGCCACAGCCUUUUCCGUGCCUGCUCAGAGGCGGGUUGGCAGCACGAUGAGUACCACGAGAUGAAGACAAUGCAGGGAUAACUCCGGACACAGAGGAUUCCGACUCAGCACAUGUGGUGGCAAGAAGGAAUUGGAGAGGCAGUCAGCCCGCACCUCAUUAUAUACGCUUGGUAGCGAGCCCAAGGAGAUCAGGAGUGGACCAAUGGACACUAUCUGCAAGAAUUUCCAGGCUCAGUUGCAUGGUGCACAUGUGUACUCCAACAUGUGGAAUAUGCAUAGGAAGCAGCACUUGGAAAAGGUUACAUUUUGCUGUGUGUAGCUGACACCAUAUCUGUCACUUCAUCUGACUCCAAUAAAGGAGAGCUUUUAUAGUGGAGUACAAAUGGCUUUUGAAACAAAAAAGUCUUGUACAAUA